UACGUAGGGAGCAAGCGUUGUCCGGAAUUAUUGGGCGUAAAGAGCUCGUAGGCGGCUUGUCACGUCGGGUGUGAAAGACCGGGGCUUAACUCCGGUUCUGCAUUCGAUACGGGCUAGCUAGAGUGUGGUAGGGGAGAUCGGAAUUCCUGGUGUAGCGGUGAAAUGCGCAGAUAUCAGGAGGAACACCGGUGGCGAAGGCGGAUCUCUGGGCCAUUACUGACGCUGAGGAGCGAAAGCGUGGGGAGCGAACAGG
rnacentral:rRNA from 1 species